UUGUUUCUAUGGCUUCCUCCGACAUUGUUGUUGCGCUUCAAUCGUUGCAGAUGCAGUUGACAUCUCAUAUCACGACCUCCACUGAGCAAUUGGCAGCCACCAACGCUGCUAUCGCCGACACCAAUACCGUUCUCCAGCGCUUCAUGACGACAGUGGAAGCCCGCAUCGCUCCCGAGAGUCGUGGACCGCCGCCGCCCCCAAAUCCAACUGAUCCGCCCCCAUUCCGCGCUAUGAAAAUGGAGGUGCCACGAUUUGAUGGGUCUGAUCCCGCUGGUUGGAUUUUUUAAGUGGAGGAGUUCUUCACCUAUCAUAACACUCCGGAAGAUCACCGCCUCCGCAUUGUAUCUUUCCACAUGGAGGGCCGAGCAGCCUCGUGGUUUCAGUGGAUGAAGUCGAAUCAGCUCCUCUCCACCUGGCCUGUUUUCCUCCAUAGCGUGCGCCACCGCUUCGGUGCGUCCCUCUAUGAGGAUCCUCAAGGCGCACUAUCCAAACUCACGCAGAAAUCUUCGGUGAGUGAUUUUCAGGCUGAAUUUGAGGAACUUAUGAACAAAGUUCAAGGGGUUUCUGAGUCUCUGCUGGUCAGUUUUUUUGUCACCGGCUUAAAGUCGGAUAUUCGCCGGGAGCUCUCUUUCACGAAACCUUCUACUCUCAUGGAGGCGUUCGCCUUAGCCCGCGCUUAUGAAGCCCGUUUGGCUGAAACACAAUCUGAUCAGCGAUGGUUUUCGCGUACGCCGAUCAAAGCCACGCCCAUAUCCUCUGUUUUACCCUCUCCGACUUACUCAUCUUCCUCUCCGCCGAUAGGUGGAUCACCAAGUGGCUCGUCCAAACCUCCAGCCCCACCGCUGCUCACUGGCCCUCCUCAAGGGCCCUCGCUACCCAUCCGUCGAUUUUCUCCGCAGGAGCUGCGUGAAAAACGUGAAAAAGGGGUGUGCUACAAUUGCGACCAAAAAUGGUUUCCCGGCCACCGUUGCCGGAGCCGUUUUUAUGGACUUCUAGGCACCGAUGAGGAUGACGAGAUUCAGGAAUCUGCACCAGAACAUCCACCCAGUGACGACACUCCAUCGUCGGAGCUACCACCGGACGCUGAUAUUUGUGGAGAUAUCUCUAGUUUGCAUACACUCUCCGGUAUGGGCCGUCCCCGCACUCUUCAUCUCCUUGGCACAAUCCAUCGCCGUGAUAUUCGGGUCUUAGUCGACAGUGGGAGCACCCACAAUUUUAUACAACCGGAGGUGGUCCGCUCCCUCAAGCUCGACGUCACCACGAUUACUCCAUUUCGCGUCUACGUGGGAAAUGGCGACUACUUAACUUGUUCUCAACUAUGCUCUGCGGUCCCAAUCCUUGUCCAGGGGCAUACUCUAUUUAUGGAUCUACAUGUCCUUCGAAUCGCUGGUCCAGCGGUGGUAUUGGGGAUACAAUGGCUGCAGACCCUCGGUCCGGUCACACACGACUAUGCCGCUCAGACAAUGGCCUUCUCUCGCGACGGGACAGCCAUCACUCUUGUGGGAGAUCCUGCUCUCGACGUUCGCCCUAUCACCUUUUCUCAAUUAAUUGCAGAAGCCCAAGACCGUGAUACCACUCAGAUUUUUGCUAUCUACAUCGGGCCCAGCCCAUCUCUUAAUGGGCCGGCUAUGAUGGGUCAUUUUGUGGCCCCCGAUUCCACUCCAGAGGCAAUAGCACCCGUGUUGCUGCAAUACCAACACCUUUUUGCUUCGCCAAAGGGUUUGCCUCCUCACCGCUUCAUAGAUCACCACAUCCAUCUCCAACCGAAUACGGCACCGGUUAAUGUUCGUCCCUAUCGUUAUCCCCAGUUCCAGAAA
rnacentral:lncRNA from 1 species